UUUUUUUUUUUUUUUUUUUUUUUUAAAGCACUGGCCAUCUUAUUCCCAUGGCAGGUCCUUGCUGCUCAGAGAGGCAGGCCGUGUGACUGGUCCUUGGUGCUCAGAGAGGCAGGCGGUGUGAUGGUUUUUGCCAUUUCUCCAUGCCUGGGACCUCCUAAGGUCAGGCAUUGUGUCUCAUUCACUGCUGCAUCUCCAGUGCCCGGCACAGUAAAUGAACAGAGCCAGUGCUCAGGCAGAGGGUGCCAAGUGAAAACAGGAUUAAAAGUCCCCCAGUCUUGGCCAUAGCUGGCCCCCACCUUCCACCUCCAACUCAAAUCUUAACAUAAUGAGAGCAAAUCAUUACGUAAAACUUACUAUAUCUGACAGGCACGAUUCUAAGUCCUUUACAUAUAUUAACGCAGUUAAUCUUCACACAACCUAUGAGGCAGAUGCUAUUAUUAUCCCCGUUUUACAGAUGAAGAAAUAGAGACACGGAGAGGUUAAGUAACUUGCCUAAAAUCGCACCACUCAGGAGUAGCAGCAGAAGCGGAAUCUGAACGCAGGCGGUCCAUCUCCAAGCUCUUCACCACUGAAUGUCUUGCUUCCUCUCUUAGAAUGGCCAGUGGAGCACAGCCUACCCUCUUUUGUGUCUGAGGUCGGCUUCCUCCCAGACAGGCAUAAAUUCUCAGAGCUUAAAUUCUUCCCUGUCAUGUCAGGCAUUAUCAGGAGUGGCAGAAGUGCUUUCCUAACACGCCGAGAUAAUGAUUUCCAAGCACAAGGAAAAGAAUCAGGCUAAUCUUGGCCGGGCCCGAUGACUCGCACCUGUAAUCCAAUAGUUUGGGAGGCCGAGGCGGGCGGAUCACCUGAGGUCAGGAGUUCAAGACCAGCCUGGCCAACUUGGUGAAACCCCGUCUCUACUAAAAAUACUAAAACUUAGCUGGGUGUGGUGGUGGGCACCUGUAGUCCCAGCUAUUUGGGAGGCUGAGGCAGGAGAAAUCACUUGAACCUGGGAGGCAGAGGUUGCAGUGAGCGGAGAUCAGGCCACUGCACUCCAGCCUGGGCAACAGAGCCAGACUCCAUUUCAAAAAAAAAAAAAAAAAA
rnacentral:lncRNA from 1 species